CUCUAACUAGGAUAAGCAAAGUGGAGAAUGGAUGGAUCUCUCUGGUUCUUCAGUAAACGUGAAGGAUGAAAUCAAAUUGUCCACGCAUUUGUGACCACCGGGUGUUUUUCAGCCAAGAGGGCUGGAAUCAGGUUGCUUGAAUUUCUCAAGUUUAUCUACGUCACGAGCGAAGCUAUCUGCUCAUGAGCCAGUGGGUCCUCUACACAAAGGCAACCACUCAGAGGAAAGAAGGAAUUCUCAGCCAAAUAAGGACAAACAGAAACAGCACAAGGAGAGACCGAAAAAUGAGGAAGAGAGCUGGCAGCUGAAGAGAGCCAUCUUGGACUUGGUUAAAAGCAUAAUCCUGGUAACGCUGCAUCAGCAGGAAAAGAGAGAUAAGAGAUUGAGGGAAUGCCUGUGCUGGGGAACCCCUUUGUGGGGAGCAUGUGCUCACUGCAGAUAUUGCAAAGAGAGGUGUAAAUGUGGCAAUUGCCUGCCAAUGCCUUCCCAGAGAGAAUGCCGCUCCUGUAAGGAAAUUCCAGAAACUGUCCAGAAGUUGGAUGGAACCGCCUUGGCUUGAAUUGUUAACCAUGAAGGCUUUCACCCAGUCUGCCUAAACCCAUCUGUAUUGGAGACAGCCUGGGAAUGGUGUUGGGGGGGCUCUCGGCAAGAGUAACAGGGUUGUUAUACCAUGAUGUGCUGUGCAGAGAAUCCGAUCUGA